GUGAGCCGAUGGACCGAGCGGCCUGGGGUUGGCCACUGUGCCGUUCCUGAACCAGGUCGCCCCUGCCCCCUGAAGGCAACAGAAUGCAUUUAGAUGAAACCUUAAAUGAAGGCGUAGUUCUGUAUUGCCUGACUUGCCUUUUUCUCCCUAUGUAAAAUACUUCUAAUAUUUAUAUUAAAUCAUGAGCAGUUUAAGUGAUCUUAAAUGUACAAAUAAUGAGACAUCUGUCUGUCUUAAGAACAGACAAGCAGUUUUCAACAAAUGCCAGUCAUUGUAUUCAUUGUCACCAAUAAUGCCAAAUCACAGAAAAGGACAUGCCAGAAAUGAGUAAAAAACAAUAGGAAAUGAACAGUGCAUUACUUCAUUUGAUAUCGUAUAUCAUCAGACUGAUGUAUAAAUAUUGGGAAAGCACAGGAAAAAUGAUUAUCUAGAUUACUUGUUCUGGUUUUACAUCUGAGGAAAAAAUCGGAACUUCUGUAUGUGAGUCUGUGAAGAACCAUUUUAACUGCUUGGUACUGUACAGCCCAAUAUGUAUGAAAAGGGGGUAAAUAUGAUCCAUUAUGUUUAUGCACAAUGGUAUUAUUUUAUACAUGAUAAUAGUACAUGAACUAUUAGAUAUAAAAAUGGGGGGCUCAGUGAUAAACAUGUGAGCAUCUAGGCCUAAUUCUAAAGUAUCUUUUAUAAUAGUGGAAUCUAGAAACCACAUCUGAAGCUCUUAUAGAUAUUUCUAUCUCUAUAGAGGCAGCCUAAAUGUUACAAAUAAUGGCAGUCUUCAUUGCAUGUUACUCUUUAUCCAAACAAGAAAUCUCAAUCCCAUGUUCUCAAAAAAAAAAAAAAAAUCUUGUCAUCCCUGCUUAACCUCCAUUAUAAAUUUCAACAGUUUGGCUGUCUUCCCUGAAGCCUAAAAGCUGUCACAUGGUUGUCAUAAACUGGAACAUCUGAUGGUCAUAGCUAUUGCAGUGGAUGAGGUCUUGGACCAAGAGUGCCAUGGAAAAAAAAGGACAACCUUUAAACAGAAUGCUGUUCUUUCUGUUCUGUUCUCCAUACCACAUACAACCACACAAUGAGAUGCUGGGGAGGCAGGGGUGAGCACUGUUCUGCAGAUAGUUCUGCAUAGGAUCACUCUUCACACGCAGAAGUCUAAUUCUCUCCUUGGACUGAAUAAUAAUAGUAAUACACUGAAACAGUGACAAAACACAAAGUAACCUAAUGACAAAUGAACUUGUGACUGUCCAUCCAGAUUCAUAAUAUAGUUGCUGAGUUCAUUCAAAACAUGAAAGAUCAAGUCAGAAGAAUAUCGAUUUCAGUGGAGUUUAGGAGUAGGCUUCUACUGUAAAGAUAUUAUCUUGGAUGACUUGAAGGGAAGAAAGCUCUUGUCACAACAGACUGCCACAGUUUAUGUUCACAGAGCCCAAACGCAUUCACUUCAUUCA